UAAGGAAUAUUGGUCAAUGGACGCAAGUCUGAACCAGCCAUGCCGCGUGGAGGAUGAAGGCCCUCUGGGUUGUAAACUUCUUUUAUUUGGGACGAAAAAAGGUCAUUCUUGGCCGUCUGACGGUACCAGAUGAAUAAGCACCGGCUAACUCCGUGCCAGCAGCCGCGGUAAUACGGAGGGUGCAAGCGUUAUCCGGAUUUACUGGGUUUAAAGGGUGCGCAGGCGGAUAUGUAAGUCAGUGGUGAAAUCUUUAGGCUUAACCUGAAAAUUGCCGUUGAUACUAUAUAUCUUGAAUGCUGUGGAGGUAAGCGGAAUAUGUCAUGUAGCGGUGAAAUGCUUAGAUAUGACAUAGAACACCUAUUGCGAAGGCAGCUUACUACGCAGAUAUUGACGCUCAUGC
rnacentral:rRNA from 1 species